GGGAACUGCAUCUGAAACUGGCAGGCUAGAGUCUCGUAGAGGGGGGUAGAAUUCCAGGUGUAGCGGUGAAAUGCGUAGAGAUCUGGAGGAAUACCGGUGGCGAAGGCGGCCCCCUGGACAAAGACUGACGCUCAGGUGCGAAAGCGUGGGGAGCAAACAGGAUUAGAUACCCUGGUAGUCCACGCCGUAAACGAUGUCGACUUGGAGGUUGUGCCCUUGAGGCGUGGCUUCCGGAGCUAACGCGUUAAGUCGACCGCCUGGGGAGUACGGCCGCAAGGUUAAAACUCAAAUGAAUUGACGGGGGCCCGCACAAGCGGUG
rnacentral:rRNA from 2 species